UAAUACAGAGGGUGCAAGCGUUAAUCGGAGUUACUGGGCGUAAAGGGCGCGUAGGCGGUUUAAUGGGUGUGAUGUGAAAGCCUUGGGCUUAACCUGAGAAGUGCAUCGCAAACUAGUAAACUGGAGUAUAUGAGAGGGUGGCGGAAUUUCCGGUGUAGCGGUGAAAUGCGUAGAGAUCGGAAGGAACGUCAAUGGCGAAGGCAGCCACCUGGCAUAAUACUGACGCUGAGGCGCGAAAGCGUGGGGAGCGAACAGGAUUAGAUACCCUGGUAGUCCACGCUGUAAACGAUGAUGACUAGAUGUUGCUGGGGGAACCUAGCAGUAUCGAAGCUAACGCGAUAAGUCAUCCGCCUGGGAAGUACGGCCGCAAGGUUG
rnacentral:rRNA from 1 species